rnacentral:lncRNA from 10 species
UUCUCAAUAGGAUUUUGAUGGAAUGAGGAAUCAACUUUUACCUAGAAGGAAAUAUGGCUGAUUAACCAUUAGGAUGUCAAUGGUUGUGAUUUUUGGGUAAUUUCCACUUUCUUUCUUAUGUUCUCUCGCGCUUUCUCUUCCUGGCCCCUGCGCCUCCUCCGGGCCCCGCGGUGGCGUGAAAGGCGUAAGCAGGAGCUAAACAAUGGGUACACAUGGACAUAAAGGUGGACAUGAUAGACACUGAGGACUACUAGAGUUAGUGGGAGAGGGAGCAGAGCAAGGGCUGGAAAAUUACCUCUUGGGUGC